GGUGGCUCAGUGGAAGAGCACUUGCCUUGCAUGCAUGAGGCCCUGGGUUCGAUUCCUUAGCACCA
rnacentral:tRNA from 1 species